AUGAUGAGUAGCCGUGCCUUUCGUCGCGUUUCAGAAUGCUUCGUCAAGCCACAUCGUCCCACCGAAGAGUCAAACCAAAUGUGCUAUUUAACACCAUGGGAUAUUGCUAUGUUGUCUGUACACUACAUCCAGAAGGGCCUCCUCUUUAAGAAGCCCACACCACUUGUUAAUCAUCAAGUUUUCAUUCAGAAUUUUUUAGACAAGCUCAAGCACUCGCUUUCUCAAACCCUCUUCCAUUUCUAUCCUUUGUCUGGACGCCUUGUCACCCACAAAACCCAUGACCCUCACUCUUAUUCCAUUUUCGUUGAUUGUACUAAUAGUGAUGGAGCCAAAUUCAUCUAUGCUACUUUAGAUUUGAACAUUUCUGACAUUCUCUCCCCCGUUGAUGUCCCACCCAUUGUUCAAUCAUUCUUUGAUCACCACAAAGCAAUUAACCAUGAUGGUCACACCAUGCCCUUGUUAUCCAUUCAAGUAACCGAAUUAUUGGAUGGUGUUUUCAUAGGCUGUUCCAUGAACCAUGUUAUUGCCGAUGGCACUGCUUUUUGGAAUUUUUUUAACACAUGGUCUGAGAUCUUUAAUGCUCAAGCUAAAGGGCAUGAAUAUGAUGUUCCAAUUUCACACCAACCCAUUCUCAAACGCUGGUUUCCAGACGGUUGCAAUCCAUUGAUCAAUCUUCCAUUUAAACAUCGUGAGGAAUUUAUUAGCAUAUUUGAAGCACCCAAGCUGAGAGAGAGAAUAUUCCACUUUUCAGCAGAGUCUAUUGCAAAACUGAAAGCAAAAGCCAACUCCGAGUCCAAUACCACCAAAAUCUCUUCGUUCCAAUCCUUAUCAGCACUUGUUUGGAGAUCCAUAACUCGUGCACGUCGCGUGCCACAUGAUGAGAGAACAAGGUGCAAGUUGUUCACAAACAACCGAACAAGAAUGGAACCCCCUUUGGCACAAGAGUACUUUGGAAACUCACUUAAUACAGUUAGUGGAGAUGCUACGGCAAGAGAAUUGCUCGAGAAUGAUCUGGGAUGGGCAGCUUGGAAGUUGCACCUUGCUGUUACAAACCAUAGCCACAAAGCAGUGAUGCAGUGGCUCAAAGAGUGGUUACAAUCUCCUUUGGUAUAUCGGUUUGAUCGGUUCUUUGAUCCCUUCUGUGUGAUGAUGGCUAGUUCACCGAGGUUCAACAUGUAUGGGAAUGAAUUCGGAAUGGGAAAAGCGGUAGCUGUUAGGUGUGGGUGUGCCAACAGAUCUGAUGGGGAAGUUACAUCAUACCCUGGCCAUGAAGGGGGAGGAAGCAUCGAUUUGGAAGUGUGUCUUUCACCAGAUGCAAUGAGCGCAUUGGAAUUGGACGAAGAGUUCAUGAAUGCAGUUUGCAACUAGGCAACACAUAUUGUUUCAUGUAAUACUAAGGAGUUGCAAUAAUAACCGACGAAGAUAUUCAACAAAUACAUAAUGAGCGUCGGGUCCCAACUCCUACCAUUGAGCUGUAUAUUGUUUUUAAACAAAUUACAGCUAAUACACGUGCAGAAGGUAGCGAUGAGGAAGAUGAAGCCUAUGUGAGCAUCGUUCUCAAUAGAGAGAUUGAAUAGGAUCAAAACAGCACUGAAAGUGAUGACCCUGACUUUGAUGAAGACGGUGAUGAUGAGGAAUCAGAAGAUGAGGGAGUUGAUGAAGACUCCUAUUUAUCAAGUCCAAUGAUUGGCAAACAUCUGUUUGAGGAGCCGUCAUUCGUGCGUGCGUUAGAUCUUACAAGUAUGCAAACACCUAAAUUUCCAGAAUAUGCUAACUUAGGUAAUUCUGAGGUAGUAGGAGAAUUGUGUGUUGGAAUGCAAUUUAAUGACAGAGAAAAUGUUAUACGAACAAUUAAACAUUACAGUAUAUCAAAAAGAGUGAACUACAAAGUAUUUGAGUCUGAACCAAAUACAUUUUACUGUAAAUGUGUAAGCUAUGACAUAGAUUGUGAUUGACUUGUUCGGGCUAGCUUGAGGAAAAACAAAUGUUUUUGGGAAAUCAGGAAGUAUAAUAGGUCACACACUUGUAUGAGGGCUAAGAUUUCGUAGGAUCAUAGUAAGUUGGAUGCAGACAUAAUUGCAGAAUGUAUUAAGCCAAUGGUAGAAUCUGACCCUUCUUUUAAGAUCAAACUUGUGAUUAAUGAAGUCUAAGCUCAAUUUGGAUAUAUGACAACAUAUAGAAAAGCAUGGAUGGCAAAGCAAAAAGCAAUUGAAAAAGUGUAUGGUGAGUGGGAAGCCUCGUAUGAAGCCCUGCCGCAAUGGUCUGUAGCGAUGUGUGACGCUGUUCGUGGGUCAAUUGUUCAAUUGGAUGCUGUUAAAGCUUAUCGCAAUGAUGAGUUGGUUCAUGAUGUUCAAAUAUUACGUUGUAUUUUUUGGAGUUUUGCUCCUUGCAUUCGGGCAUUCAGACAUUGCAAACCACUUGUGCAGAUUGAUGGGACACAUUUAUAUGAAAAAUACAAGGGGACUUUAUUGGUAGUUGUUGCACAAGACAGCAAUCAGAAUAUUUUGCCAAUUGGCUUUGCUAUUAUUGAAGGAGAAACUGCAGAUGGUUGGCAUUUUUUCCUUGAGAAUUUACGCAAACAUGUCGUGACGCAGGAUAGUGUUGGUAUUAUUUUUGAUCGGCACGAGUCAAUUAAUGCAGCAAUAAGACGAAGUAACAGACAAUGGGAACCUCCAAAGGCAUUUUACAUGUAUUGUAUCAGGCAUAUUGCUGCUAAUUUCUUGCGACGAUUUAAGACACCUUACUUGCAUAAACUUGUCGUCCGCAUGGGUUAUUCAAGAAUUGAAUCAGAAUUUAAUAUUCAUUAUGAGCGGUUGAGACAACGUGGAGAAGUAUAUACAGACUGGCUUAAUGAAAUUUCACGAGAGAAGUGGGUUAUUGCAUAUGACAGUGGGCAUCGAUAGGGUCACGUGACCACUAAUCUUAUUGAGUGCAUUAAUUCAGUAUUAAAGAGCGUUCGUAAUCUUCCAAUAACAGCACUGGUUAGAGCAACUUACUUUCGAUUGGCUGAGUUAUUUGCACGUAAAGGUUGUGAGGCAUAUGCGCGAAAAAAGGCUGGACAUAUUUUUUUUGAUGCUAUGACGACUCGACUUCAAUCAAAUAAGCAAGCAUCUAGAAACCUUUGUGUUACUGUAUUUGAUAGGCAAAAUGAGACUUUUCUUGUUCAAGAUGUAAACAACAAUCAAGAAUAUAAAGUCCAACUCAGGCAAAGGUAUUGUGAUUGUGGUGACAUCCAGACUGAUAGAUAUCCAUGUCGUCAUGUCAUUGCUGUUUGCUCUAGUCAGAACAUUGAUUGACGUUGUUAUGUCGAAGAUGUUUACAAGAUAAAUGAGUUGUGCAAAGUAUAUAAGAAGGAGUUUGGAGUCAUUGGAAAUGAAAUUACGUGGCGGAUAUAUAGAGGUCCAAAACUUAUUCCUAACCCAAAUUUAAAGCACAUAAUAAGAGGUCGUCCAAAAUCAACACGUUUUCUGAAUGGAAUGGAUAGGCGUGAGAUGAGAAGAACCCGACGUUGCACUCUUUGCCGAGGUGAAAGUUAUAGUAGAAGAACAUGUCCAAAUGAUCCUGGGUCAAGUUUGCAAGGUUGAUGUUGUUGUUUUAUGUAGUUUUAAUUUAUGUUGUUGUUGUUGUUGAUGAUUAAGUUGUUAUCGUCAUGUAAGAUGAAGUAGUAUUGUUUAAUCAGUAUUAAGGGUCAUAUGCAAUAUUUGUUAUAUUUUGAAAGAGUAUCUUUAUCAGAGAUGAUAAAUCAUAUAAUAUU